CAAAAUUGCCUAGUUACAGAUUUGUGUGGGGCACCAUGUAGCCGUCGUAUCAGCCCUGGCAGUGGAAAAGCCAGCUUCUACCUGAAACUGAUGCCUUCAGAAUGUAUCGAUACGGUAAUGCUACUUUCUCUUCGAAAUUUUUGGGUUCUUGCACAUGCGGAUGCUUGCAGGGGUAACCUCCACUAGCUCAUCUUCUUGGAUAAACUCUAUGCAGUCAUCCAAACUGUAGCUUAAAGGUUCAUCAAGAACCACUGCAAAAUAGGGAACACAGAGCAUUAAGUGUAGUUUGAUCAAAAGCUAAUAGUCAAUGAAUAUGAAUAUUGGUUGAGUAAUAAAAGCAUUUUCAAGUACAUAUUGGGCAUUUCAGCACUUGCUACUUCUAGAAUGAACAACCUACAUUGUUUUCAAUACAUGGUUAUAUUCCAAGAUCUCUACUCGUUCUUGUUCCAAAAUUUUAUCAUUUAUGUUGCAGCAGCUAUUGGGACGUUUUUCAAGAAGAGCCAAUCACAGUACACAAAAUCUGUUACAUAAAAGGUGGCAGUUCUGGUAGAAAUAAAAAAAAUGAGAAAUCAUCAAACUGCUGAGUGAAAAUAAAGUUCUACCUGUAGUUUCCUUGUUGGAACGAACAUUUGUAGCAGCCUUUUUCUUGCACACAUUAAUUGCUAAAUCACCAGGUCGCUGAUGGAUACCAACAAUUUGACCUUUGUAAACAUCCUGGCCAGGUUGGACAAACAGCAAACCUCUUUCUUGCGCAUUAAGAAGUGCGUAAGAAGUAGUGCUUCCAUCUUCAAACGCAAC
rnacentral:lncRNA from 1 species